rnacentral:rRNA from 1 species
UACGUAGGGUGCAAGCGUUAAUCGGAAUUACUGGGCGUAAAGCGUGCGCAGGCGGUGAUGUAAGACAGUUGUGAAAUCCCCGGGCUCAACCUGGGAACUGCAUCUGUGACUGCAUCGCUGGAGUGCGGCAGAGGGGGAUGGAAUUCCGCGUGUAGCAGUGAAAUGCGUAGAUAUCUGGAGGAACACCGGUGGCGAAGGCGGCAUCCUGGACCAACACUGACACUGAGGAGCGAAAGCCAGGGGAGCAA